rfam:Arabidopsis thaliana chromosome 4, complete sequence.
AAGAAUGAGGAAGACGGUGAUGAAUUGGAAAUUCCGAUGAUGUGAAAAACUCAUGUGAAGAAGACGAGUUGAAAAAAAAAACGUUUCGUAUUUCCUUUGAUGAUGAUGACAU